GGCCAGUGGACAGUUGGUUUUCAGGGAAGAAAUACAAAUGGCCAAUGAAUAUUUGAGGAGGCGGUCCACAUCCUUAGCCUUCUGGGAAAUGCCAAUGGCAGCUUCUCUGAGGUCCCAUCCCACCCAGACUUGCUGCCAUUGAGACGGGAAAUGACAACAAAUGCUGGUGAGGAUAUGGGAAAGGGGAUCUUUAUUCACUGGUGACAGGAAUGCCAGUGGCCGCAGCUGGUAUGAAAGUUGGUGUGGGCAUCCUCAAAAAUGAAAGUGGAACUAUUGUAUGAUUCAGCGACACCACCCCUGAGUAUGUGUCUUUAGGAUGCUUGGUCACUGUAGGAGAGGCCUUGCACAUGCGUGUUUAUUACUGAACCAUUCAUCAUAGCCAAGAUAUGAAAUCCCUUGAGGCCUAUCAGCAGAUGAAGGGAUAAAGAAACUGCUCAUGCGUACAAUGGGGUUUUAUGCAGUCACAGAGAAGCAUGAAAUCACGGCAUUUGUAGGAAGAUGGAUGCAACUAGGACUCAUUAUGUUAAAUGAACUUUUAAAAGAGCUCUUCACUGGAACCAUGGAGAGUGAGCCAGCAUCACUGCUCCUGCUUAUUCACAGUCUGGACAAGAAGGUCAAUGUUAAAAGAGUUACACUCAUCUUUAAUGGCAGAAAUAGUCUUUUGAGGUGUCCAUCCUUGCUUCAGAAGACAGACUAUCUUCUGUCAAGCCCUCACCUGAAAAUCUAGAGUGAAGAAUCUCAACAAUGUUGUUUCCAACCUCGACUGUAAGAUGGACUGAAAGGCUGUCUAUUACCACCGUAUCUGCAUGGCGGUCACCCCCAUGAGUACAACUGAGUCUUCCAUGAAGGGACUGGAAUUCUAUGCAGGCACCUAUGAUUUGAAGACUUGAAUGUUUUCUUCUCCACAGGCCCUCUGACUGUUCAUUCAAAAUGGCAAGCUGGCUGACACAUUUUUUUGGCAAGGUGCCCUUCAUGGAUAAUUGUGGCUAUACUUCCAUGGCAGAUGAAACUGCUACUUCAUGUGAAAUUGUCUAGAUGACCACUUUAUCUGGAGCAGAUCUUGAAACAGCCAGGAUUUUCCUCCUAAAGUUCUGUUCCCUGGAAGGGAAGCCUUUGUUGGAGUCAAUACUUCCUGAUCUGAUGGGCGAUGGAGCAAGGCACUUUGCCUGGUUCUAACAGAGCACAGUCGAACACUCAGGUUCAUGAAAGUCAAGAGCAAUGACCAGUGGAAUCCUACCUGGGGCCCUGACGUUUCUGACAUUGAUGUAAAGUACUACAACAAGGCCAAUGGCAAGCUGACUGUGUCUGCAGAUUACACUGAUUUUUACAUAACAUAUCAAGACCUGAGGCUGGAGAAGAGACACAUGGAGAUCACCUGCCUUUCAACAAUGCCCUUAGCUCCUGUAUUUUUGGUAAGCAGGACACAAAGGAAAGUGGGAAAUCCCCAGAAAAGAGCAAUGAAACUGACUGGAUGGCAGGCAUUCUACCCAGGAAGAGAACUUCCCAAAACUAAAGGGGAUCCUGCCAAGCCACUGUCCCUAGUGUGACCCGGGGCAAUUAUUGUACCAAGAGCCUGGUCCAGGGAUUUAGAGGGCUGAGCUCUUGUGCCCUAGACCCAUCAUCAAGGUCAAUGGUCACAUUUUCACCCAGCCACCCACACUUAUACAGGAGAAAUUUAUAGCCAUGUCUCUAUAGCCAUGUCUCAGCUGUUCUCCAACUUACUGUCCGUACAGAAAAGAGGUCCCAGCUCUGAGAAAAUGUAGAAAAAUGCAAUUCAUGUUCUCAACAAAUAUUGAUUUUUUUCUUUAUUGAAAAUAGAUCUUUUAAUACAAUGUAUUGGAUCACACUUUUCCCUCCUCCAACUCCUCCCAGCUCCUCCCCAGCUCCCCACCCAACAAAAUCCACACCCUUUCUUUCUGUCUCUCAUUAGAAAAUGAACAGGCAUCUAAAAACAAAAUUAAAUAAAAACAAACAAAUGAAAUGGGACAAAAAUAAACAACCACUCUAAAAAAAGAGCCAAAAAAAGAGCACAAGAAACACAAACAGAUGCAGAGACACACACAUUGGGUCACACUGAAAUCCCCAAAUCCAGCAUUAGGUUGUCCUGGGACCUUGGUUCAAUGAUGAGUAAAGAGGUGUUGAUUUUUGGUGAUGCUGGUGGCUGCAGGCUGUGGUGGUGAGCCUGAAGACUUUCAAGCUCUUUACAUGUCAUAUCAAAACCACAAUCUCUGUUUCCUAAAAAGAUUUAUCUGUCUUAGUGUAUGAGAGUUUUGUCUCCAUGUGUGCACAUGUACCAUAUUCAUGCAGUGUCCAGAGUGGCUUUAACAGAGGGUCCAGGUCUUCUAGCACUGAAGUUACAGACAGUUGUGAGUCACAGCAUGGAUGCUGGGAACUGAAUUCAGAUCCUCUGUGAGAGCAGCCCAUGCUUUUAAUUGCUGAGCCAUCUUUCCAGCCCCCAAGAGCCC
rnacentral:lncRNA from 1 species